rnacentral:lncRNA from 1 species
AGCCCCCAAGGCUGUGGGUAUGAGGCCGGGGCCCUGCACCGGAAGGGAGGGCGGAAGCCACGGGACGUGGAGCAGAUGGUGAGGAUAGUGGGGAGGUAGCAGCAGAGGAUGACCCGAGGCAAAAGUGCAAGUGAAGAAAAGUCGCCUUGCCGGGCAGAGGUACGGGACCAAGGCGCCUCCUCUGGGCUGAGGAGUUAGAGGGAAGAAAAUGGCGCCCUGUCAUGAGGGCGCGAGGUCCGAGUUGAGGGGAGAAGACUGAGGGACACAGAAGUGGCCGAAGUGAGGGCGCUGAGGUCAGCCUGAGCUGAGAGGGCCGGCAGAUCACGCCGCAGCCGAAGUGAACGAACUCGAGUGAGGAAAUUACUCCAGGAUUUGAAUCAUCACAAGAGAUUCACCAGAGGAUUUUAUACACUUGGGCUGUGGCAGCAGACUAAUUACAUCACAGCACUAGGACUCUGCAGUGCCGUUACUGUUAUAUAUGAAGUGUCCAUUUAUAUGUGAGUCAUUGCCUAUCUUGGUUAUGCUCCAUUGAUUUAUUUGUCAAUUUCUGUGACAAUAUCAUAUUGUCUUUAUCAUUUUACUUUAUAAUCAUUGUUAAUAUUUAGUACAUCAAGAACUCCCACCUCAUUUUUUAAAAGAAUGUUUUGGAUAGUCUUGGCCUUUAAAUUUUCCAUAAAGUUUAAAAUCAGUCUGUCAAAUUCUGUCAAAAAAAAAAAAACCCUCCUGGGAAUAUUUAUUGGGAUUGAACUGAAUCAUUAAAUCAUUUUAGAGUGAACUGAUAUUUUUAUACUAUUGAGCCUUCCAAUCACGAUUUACUUCAGUUUUCCUUAGUGUCUUUCAAUAGACAUAAAAGUCUUAUAUAUCUUUUGGUACACUUAUUUGUAGAUACUUGAUUUUUUUAGGCUAAAAAGGCAUCUUUAAAAAAUCAUUUGCUAACAAUUAUGGCUGGUGUUUGGAAAUGUAACUACUUUUGUCAUAUUGAUUAUUCAUCUAGGGAUUUUGCUAAAUGCUCUUAUAAUUCAAAUAAAUCUCUUUUUCCUACAUAUACAAUUUAUCAUUUGUAGAUAAUUAUACCAUUAAUUUGUUUUUCUUAUCCUUCAUGUACUAGUUAGAAGCUCUAGUACAACACAGAAUAGAAAUGGUGAUAUUAGGCACCCUUUAAUUGUUCCUGACUUUACAGGAAAAGCUUUUGACAUAAAACAUUACUUUUCUUUGGUUUUCUACAGAUACUUUUUAUUAGAUUAAGAACUUUCAUUCUAUUUCUUUUUUCUUAAGUGUUUAAAAAUCUUGAAUGGAUAUUAAGUUUUAUCAAAUGCUUUAGAAAUUUUGCAUCUAUGUAGAAAUACUGUAACU